rnacentral:rRNA from 1 species
AACGUAGGGGGCGAGCGUUAUCCGGAUUUACUGGGCGUAAAGCGCAUGUAGGCGGACUGGAAAGUUGGACGUGAAAGCUCCCGGCUUAACUGGGAGAGGUCGUACAAAACUACCAGACUGGAGGUUGGAAGAGGAGAGUGGAAUUCCCGGUGUAGUGGUGGAAUGCGUAGAUAUCGGGAGGAACACCAGUGGCGAAAGCGGCUCUCUGGACCAAACCUGACGCUGAGAUGCGAAAGCGUGGGGAGCAAACGGG